GUACUGGUGUAAACCUUCCAUAGUCAUGGAGCUGAAAUAAAUAAAUACAUUUUUACAAGCAAAGUAAAUGCAGUUUGAAGUAAAGAUUAUAGGUCUUUCUGUAUUUUACUAAGGCAUCACCAAACUGAUAACUUCUUCAGUUUUUUUCUUUAAAAAUGGGAAGAGCAUGAAAAACAACUAUCUAUUUAUACUGCCAAGUGCCCUUUCGAGCAUGGUAGGCAGACAUGGACAUUAUCGAGUCGGUUUCCUGGGAAGAACCAGUACUUGGUGUCCAUGGAGGAGAUAAUUAGAAUGCUUCCCAAGUAAGGAGUGAACCCACUAACACCCGAUCGCUAGGCGGAUAUCUCAUCCACUACAACACCGCGACCUUGAACUACAAAUAUUUUUUUAUGUCCCCCACUAUAGAAGUGGGGGACAUAUUGUUUUUGCCCUGUCUGUUGGUUGGUCUGUUGGUUGGUUGGUUUGCGCCAACUUAAACAUUUUGCAAUAACUUUUGCUAUAUUGAAUAUAGCAACUUGAUAUUUGGCAUGCAUGAGUAUCUCAUGGAGCUGCACAUUUUGAGUGGUGAAAGGUCAGAGGUCAAAUAUAUGUGGCCUAAAUUGCUCAUUUUAUGAAUACUUUUGCAAUAUUGAAGAUAGCAACUCGAUAUUUGGCAUGCAUGUGUAUCUCAUGUAGCUGCACAUUUUGAGUGGUGAAAGGUCAAAGUCAAGGUCAUCCUUCAAGGUCAGAGGUAAAACAUAUUUGUCCCAAAUCGCUUAUUUUAUUAAUACUUUUGAAAUAUUGAAGAUAGCAACUUGAUAUUUGGCAUGCAUGUGUAUCUCAUGGAGCUGCACAAUUUGAGUGGUGAAAGGUCAAGGUCAUCCUUCAAGGUCAAGGUCAUCCUUAAAGGUCAAAUAUAUGGGUCAAAAUUGCUCAUGUAAUGUCACUUCUGCAAUAUUGAAGCUAGCAAUUUUAUAUUUGAAAUGCAUGUGUAUCUCAUGGAGCUGCACAUUUUGAGUGGUGAAGGGUCAAGGUCAUCCUUCAAGGUCAAACAUUAUUUAGGGGGACAUUGUGUUUCACAAACGCAUCUUGUUUCAAAUUAUCUUUAUUCAACAACAUUUUGUAUAACGAUAAAACAACUCACUCUUAGAGAUACGUCUAGUAGUGAUGCACUGCUUUCAACCAACAAACCAUCUGCCUCGUUCUCGAAACUCAAGUCUGGUGAACGGUUAUCUGACAUUUCCUCAGUUUCUGGUGUGGAAUUCGUCUCAUCUGCUUCAGGGCCAUUUUCCAGAGUCUGUAAGGUAAACAAAUAAAAUUAAAUCAGCACAUCAAAGACCUAGAAAUACACAUACUUUUUCAAACUAACAUGAAAGAAUGAUGUUCAGAUACGUAAUAUUUAUGCUUCUGUAUCAUGUUGUAAACACCGUCAGAUUCUAUACCGAUAGAGUAACUGACCCAUGUUCAUUCUUGAAACCUCGUAUAGCCUAGUGGCAACAUAUCCGCUUCAAAAUAUCAGAUACCAUUGGUUCGAUCCUCGGCUGUGAGCUACAUAAAAUAAAUCAUGAACUGUGCCAUGGGUAUGUCUGCCAUUAUCCCAUGCUUGAUUGUACCACAAGGAAUCACUGAUUUGAAUAGUAAGCUCGAUUUAAUAAUCCAUCGGAAUCGUUUUAAGGUGAUAAUCUGAUUACACGCAGUGCGCAAUCUGAUUAUGUGAUGACUUAAAUUAGUAUAAGUAUUAAUAUGAUUUAAUAAGAAUAGUAUAUGUGCCUUUUAUACACGCGUUCAAUGCCAUAAUACCGGUAAAAUCAUAAGUUGAUUUAGAUAUCAGUACAUUAAAUAAAUGUCUAUAUAUUAUAAUCAUACAAUACGCAAUUUUACAAUGCCGAAGUAAUGUUAUUUACUGAAAUAAGAUCUAUUUUCGCAUGACACUGGCUGUAUAGCAAGUAGUCUUAUAUAAAUAAGAGCAACAUUACUUCAAGCACGUACACUUAACAAAAAGAGUUCUCCGUUUAAAAAUGAUGGUAUUAAGGUGUUACUAAAUAUAAAAUACCCAACAGCGGGCGAGCGUUUAAUGCACUUUGCGCUUGAUGAAUAAUGUUAUACAAUUAUUAUGGGCAAAUUUAUAAUUUCAAAACAUUAUUAGUUGUUGAUGUUAUUCGCGUUCAAUAAAUACAUCAGUUCUUCUUAUCAACCUGAUGCCUGUUGCCUGCUACAGUUUCUUAUCAUAAUUGUAUAAACUACAAUACACCAUCAGCGGCCGAGAGCAGAAUACCGGCCGCUAAAUAAAUUGUGACUUGCAUCAAAUCUCAGGUCAAAUUUCGAUUGUUUUACAAUAAAAUACUAAUAUUUUAUAAUGUCAAGCACGUGCACUUAAUAAAAUACGAUAUGUCUUUAUUUAUUGUAGAAUUUUGCAAAAGUAAAGCGCUUUAUAUAUAGCAAUGUUUUAUUAUUUCUUUCUAGUUACGUAAAUAAACAAAACAUAAUUAUGUAUAUAACAUUUAAUAUUUGUACAUAAUUUAUAAAAAUAAAUACAAUGAAACGUGAUGUUUGUGAAGUGCGCGUGACAUUGAACUUCGAGUUAAGCGAAAGAUGCGAAUUAAAUUACACAUAAUUAAAAACUGAUACUAUUCUGUCAGCAUGUUUUAUACUCCAUCGCGCCAAUAAAUUCAUCAAAUUGUGUAUACAAGCAAAACGAUGGAAAUUAUGACAGAAACCCAGCUUUUCAAAUAAAAUGACCCUUAACAUAACGCUAGCAGACCCGAAUGAAUAUACUUUAUUUGAGUCGUGUUCUGAGAAAACUGUGCAUAAUGCAUGUGCUUAAAGUGUCGUCCCAGAUUAGCCUGUACAAUCCGCACGAAUUAUCAGGGACGGCACUUUCCGCUUUUAUGACAUUUUUCGUUUAAAUGAAGUGUCUUUUUAGCAAAAAUCCAAUUUAGGGUCGACACUUUACGCACAUGCAUUAUGCCCAUUAUUCCCAGAACGCGACUCAUUUAAUCCAAUCAGGUAAAUAACAAAUACAAUAAUAAAACAGGGGAAGUCUACACUGUGUAUUAGCAACCUGCUGUGGUGAAUAUAUCUUAUCAGCUAAAUACACAGGCACCUGGCUACUGUACUGGAAAAAUUGGAUUUACUGCCAAAAUAAUUGAUUUCAUUUAUGGCUAAAUUGUUGUGUACAUGUAAAAUUAAAAACGAGGAUGUAUCCACAUCACCGUUGCACAUUGUUAUUAAUUUCACAGUUAUCUGUUCUUUAUUAGAGAUAGCCUAAUUAAAGACGGCGCUAAUAAAAUGUGAAGGUGGAUAUAAAGAAAUAAGGUCAAUUUCCGCACUGACAGUAUAGCAAGUAGUCUUAUAUAACAUAUUAAAAAUAUUCCAUGGUUAAAAAUGCACGAUGUUAUAUAGUAAAAGAGUGUGUUUGAGUAAUCAAUAGGAUAUUUUGUAUUGGCUAUAUUGUUUCACUCGUAAAGAAAAUACCAAAAUCGACGUGCGAAACGUAAAAAUUUAUAUCUGAAAUAAUAUUGUUAAGGGCGUUAAGCUAGUUAAAAAUAAUCACGAUUAUUUACUAUGUAUAAAUUAGAUAAAACGUUAAGAUGUAAAUUCUUAUCAUAAAUAUAAAAUGCACAUAAUAUUAUAAUAUUCAUUCAUAUUUCAUUAUUUCAGGUAAAAGUACAAACAUAUUGUUUUAAAUCCUAUGUAAUCAGCACUUUAUGUUGGAUUUCAACAAUGCUUAAUUAAUUAUCGGGUGUAGCAGCGGUGUACAUUACCCAUAUGAUAUAACGCAAAGGUAACGGUCAAGCGACUUCCCACAUUUAUAUGACAUGUUUUAUUAUCGUUAUCAGGUAUCUGUUAUGUGUCAACGGAUUAACGGACAUUGGUUGAUUACCCGAUAAUAUGCAAGUAUCAAAUGAUUUAGAUUCAUAAGUUAUGGGAAAACAUUAUAUGCCUGACCUGAAAAAUGUAAGUCAUAACAAAUAAUUAUAUUAUAAGUUCACUUACCAGAAUCACAACCUAAGUGUUGCCAUCGCUCGCAGGCAUCGCAAGAAACAGCACGUUGCCUCUGCCCAACUGUCUUUCCACAAUGUAUGCACUUUACCACUUCUGCCAUUGCAGAAACACAAAACUCACUUACUCUCACAGUAAAAUUAUUGUAUCCUACAUUUAAGAAGCACAAAUGUUUGAAAUAUUUAUAUAAAUUAGUUCAAUUUAUGAUUCACUGUGUGUGUUUCAGAGUUUAUUUACAGGUCCUACUGGCCUCUUCACGAGGUUAUGGUAGCCCGACCUGCCCCUGUGACCUCUCAGGGGAAAAAGAUUAAUUUAGAGCCAAAUUCCCAGAUCGCAGAACACGCCGCCCCCGCACAAGCGCACCCACGCCGAGCGAGCCCGAGCCCCCCCCCCCCCCCCGCGCCCGCAUACGGCCCCGGCCCUAGCACCCAACCGCUGAAGACCCUCGAGACAAGCACCCUCAUCCACCCUCUCGCUGCGCGCGACAACAGAUCAGUCAAGAACCAACCAUGGAGCCCCCCAAAGCCCCACCCGGAGUCACCAUCGUUCUUUCCCACCCACCUGCCAAACAUCCAGACCAUGUAUCAAGCUGGGAUGUAUUUAUUUUGUAGUUAUGUUAUAUUUGCUAUUAUAAUUGGAUAGGUAAAGUAAAUAAAUGAUCUCAAAAUGCCGUUGUUAUAUCAUAUGAUUUAUUUAUGUUUUAUAUUAAUUUGUAAAACUCAUAGUAUUAUAGUUUAUGUCCCGUAUUCUAGCUUUCAUUUACCCAAGUGUGGUUAUUGUGCUCUCCGCCCCAUGAGAGGUGUUAGUGGGGGUUCGAGCAGGAUACAGGAAACGCCCCGAUUCCAGAGGCGCCCCUGGUUCUUUUAAGUGCCCGGUGUAUAGCACCGAUACACUGCACCCCCGUUUAACGUCUCUCGCGGAGGACAUAUUAGUACAUAGUGUUAGUAUCGGUACUUAUAUACAUGUGUAGUUCUGCUGUCUUGUGUCAUAUCUUACGGUAACGUGGGCUCUCUCUGUUGCUAUUUGGUAUAUAGUUUGAAUGUUAUUGCGAAGGGCAGGCUAGUUUUUGAAAGAUCAUGUAUUUGAUGAUAGAAGAAAGGGACUAUGUUUGUUUGAUUGGGCCGAUGACUAGUUCGUUGGGGGUAGAAAAUUUCUUUGUAAAUUCUUUCUUAUUGCUGUGUUAAGUGUCUUGUGAGACUGUGGUGUUGUAAGGGCCAGACUAGUUUUGAUAGGUCAUUUAUUUGAUGAAAGAAGAGAGGGCUGAGUUUGAGAUGAUAGUAAAUUUGGUAUUAGGGAGAGCGCACACGUUAGUGUUUCUGGUUAUAAAAGCAAAGACAGCAUUCCUAUGUGUUUUUGUAAUAUGCCAGGUUAGUAUCGUGGUCUGGUCUGGGGCAUAUGAUUCACUGAAAACUGCCCGCUUUAUAUACAGACAGCCCUCUUAAAUGAUCAGUCGCCAAAUACGCAAUCGCUCCGCCCACUAAGUUGUGUUUUCAUAAAACGCUUAUUCCAUUACUCCGUAAGUCUUUGUUUGUCGGACCAUGUGGCCGCAAUAAACGAAAUCUGAUUGAUUAUUACGUGAGUUUGAUUGACAGCUGGCGAGUGGUCAAUUACUUUAAAAAGAGCAUUGUUGUCUGGUUAAGCUUGUUAAUAACCUUAUGUAGUCUUUUAUCACGCCAAACUGUGAUACCAUAUGUCUUACUCAUAAAUCUGUGUCCAGACAAUCAAAGCAUGUCGGCAUAAUUAAUUUUCAUCAACUCACACUUUUACAAAACAUAACUAACACAAAAGCAUUCAAUUAUUCUUCUAUAUUUAAACCAAACUAUCAUACAAUAUGUCUGAUUAAAAAAUCUUUGAACAGAAAAUGAAAGCAUGCCGUCAAAUUAAACGUCGUUUAACAUUUCACGCUUGUUCAGAUUUCAGGGGCGAAUUGUCUUGGGGUGAGAUUUCUUUGGGGCGAGUUGUCUGAUUCCCAUUCCGAAUGGACUUUGAAAGAAACGAACGACAACUUUGUAAGAAAACCCGCCAAUGGGGCUCGCGACCAAUCGGAUGGAUGCUAUGCCUGCUGGGAUAGCCAUGCUCUUUUUCGACGCGGACAGUGGACCCGACAUGACCGACUUAACGGACUCGACGUGACGGACUCGACCUAAUCAAUUUUCUUUAUUCUUAGACUUAAGUCUAAGAAUUGUUUGGUGAAUACGGGCCUAGCAGAUUCUUUUGUGCACGAGAUGCGGUCAAAAAGAAGAAAAGACGAAAGAACCAAUCCAGACUUGGUGGCAGAGGAAAGUAUAAAAAAGAAUGCAGAUCUUGGUGGAUUUUGUGUGGAUACAAUUCCACCUAAAGGUAGAGGAGUUAGAACAGAAGUUCAUAGAAACAAGGGCGACUUUCUCCUUACCUAUCAUGGAGAAUUAAUCACAGGAGAAGAAGGCAAUAAAAGAGAACUAAUGUCUGUCUCUGUCUUCAGAUUCUUCUUUUCUUUCAAAGGGAAGCAGUGGUGGUAAGCAGAUGACUUUUAUGUUCUU